rnacentral:pre_miRNA from 1 species
AUUACUUGGAAUCUUGUUGAAAAGCAGAUUCUGACUCAGCAUGUCUGGAGAGUGGCCUGAGAUUCUGCAUUUCCAAUAAGCUCCCAGGUGAUGCUGG